rnacentral:rRNA from 1 species
UUAAUUACUUAGGUAGUAAUAGUUAUGUUCUUGAAACUUAAAAAAUUUGGCGGUAUUUUAGUCUAUUCAGAGGAAUCUGUUCAGUAAUCGAUAUUCCACGAUGAACCUUACUUAUACUUGUUUAGUUUAUAUACCGUUGUUAUAAGAAAAUUUUAUAAGAAAAUUAAUUUUCAAUAAUUUAAAUAAGAAUUUAUAUCAGAUCAAGGUGUAGCUUAUGUAUAAGUUGAAAUGGAUUACAAUAAAAUUAUUUAAAUGGAUUUAAAAUUGAAAUAUUUUAUUGAAAGUGGAUUUGAUAGUAAAAUUAUAGAGAUUAAUAAUUUGAUUUUAGCUCUAAAAUAUGU